CGGGGGGCAGCAGUGAGGAAUUUUCCGCAAUGGACGAAAGUCUGACGGAGCAACACCGCGUGAAGGAUGAAGGCCUAUGGGUUGUAAACUUCUUUUCUCAAGGAGGAAGAUCUGACGUUACUUGAGGAAUAAGCAUCGGCUAACCCUGUGCCAGCAGCCGCGGUAAUACAGGGGAUGCGAGUGUUAUCCGGAAUUAUUGGGCGUAAAGCGUCUGCAGGUUGGAAAGUAAGUCUUUUGUUAAAACUCCAGGCUUAACCUGGAAUCUGCAAAAGAAACUUCUUUUCUAGAGUAGGUUAGAGGUAAAGGGAAUUUCCAGUGGAGCGGUGAAAUGCGUAGAGAUUGGAAAGAACACCAAAAGCGAAAGCACUUUACUGGGGCCGUACUGACACUCAGAGACGAAAGCUAGGGGAGCAAACAGGAUUAGAUACCCGAGU
rnacentral:rRNA from 1 species